rnacentral:rRNA from 1 species
CCUACGGGUGGCAGCAGUGGGGAAUAUUGCACAAUGGGGGGAACCCUGAUGCAGCAACGCCGCGUGAAGGAAGACGGUUUUCGGAUUGUAAACUUCUAUCAAUAGGGAAGAAAGAAAUGACGAUACCUAAAUAAGAAGCCCCGGCUAACUACGUGCCAGCAGCCGCGGUAAUACGUAGGGGGCAAGCGUUAUCCGGAAUUACUGGGUGUAAAGGGAGAGUAGGCGGCAAGGUAAGCGAUAUGUGAAAGCCUUAGGCUUAACCUGAGGAUUGCAUAACGAACUAUCUAGCUAGAGUACAGGAGAGGAAAGCGGAAUUCCUAGUGUAGCGGUGAAAUGCGUAGAUAUUAGGAAGAACACCGAUUGCGAAGGCAGCUUACCAAACUACGACUGACGUUGAGGCACGAAAGCGUGGGGAGCAAACAGGAUUAGAUACCCCUGUAGUC